GUGCUCACUUUGGCAGCACAUAUACUAAAAU
rnacentral:snRNA from 1 species